GAUGAACGCUGGCGGCGUGCCUAAUACAUGCAAGUCGAGCGAACGGACGAGAAGCUUGCUUCUCUGAUGUUAGCGGCGGACGGGUGAGUAACACGUGGAUAACCUACCUAUAAGACUGGGAUAACUUCGGGAAACCGGAGCUAAUACCGGAUGAUAUUUUGAACCGCAUGGUUCAAAAGUGAAAGACGGUCUUGCUGUCACUUAUAGAUGGAUCCGCGCUGCAUUAGCUAGUUGGUAAGGUAACGGCUUACCAAGGCAACGAUGCAUAGCCGACCUGAGAGGGUGAUCGGCCACACUGGAACUGAGACACGGUCCAGACUCCUACGGGAGGCAGCAGUAGGGAAUCCUCCGCAAUGGGCGAAAGCCUGACGGAGCAACGCCGCGUGAGUGAUGAAGGUCUUCGGAUCGUAAAACUCUGUUAUUAGGGAAGAACAUAUGUGUAAGUAACUGUGCACAUCUUGACGGUACCUAAUCAGAAAGCCACGGCUAACUACGUG
rnacentral:rRNA from 1 species